ACUGAGAACUGCCAUGGCCUAUCUCCUAAACAGCUUUCCUUAAAUUGACCAGAUUCAAGAGUGCGCUUUCCAGGAGAGUCUCCUGUGACACAAUGGAAAUCUUUACGUACUAUAUCUCUCUAAAGACAGGAGGUUAGCAAUGUUUUCCUCUGCAAGGCUAUACGGAGCAGCCGACUGACACAGAUGCAGAGACGCAGGACGAAAUACCGGAUGGAGCUCAGUGACUCUCACUGAAGAGCUGAGGGAAGAAGACAGAGGAAGAGGAGCACAAUGGGCUUCACGUGGGUUCAGUAAACCCGUCGCCUGACUGUG